rnacentral:rRNA from 1 species
CGGGUGAGUAACGCGUGGGCAACCUGCCCUUAUCUGGGGGAUAACAGUUGGAAACGACUGAUAAUACCGCAUAAUAUGGUUUGAAGGCAUCUUCUUUCCAUCAAAGAUUUAUCGGAUAAGGAUGGGCCCGCGUCUGAUUAGCUUGUUGGUGAGGUAACGGCUCACCAAGGCGACGAUCAGUAGCCGACCUGAGAGGGUGAUCGGCCACAUUGGAACUGAGACACGGUCCAAACUCCUACGGAAGGCAGCAG